rnacentral:lncRNA from 1 species
CCACCACGAUGACGGCGAUGAGGCCGGCGGUGAGGCGCUUCAUGGAGAACUUCGGGGGAAUCUCGUCCAGGGCUCCUCAGGCUCAAGCACAACCUGGAAAAACGAAGGUGUUAAUGUUCCAUGAGGCAACUGAUGACCAAUGGGGAGCAGGAGCUGGUGAAUGAAUGUUCCCUUCAUCCAUCCUGCAGCUUCUACAUUGUUCUUCAUCUCUGGGAAAUCAGUGACCCAUGGACUGGACAAUAACUUUGAGCCAUGCAGUCAAAAUAAAAUGGAAUAUUUAAGUGAAAGAUCAGGUUCUGGAAAAUAAAACUGCUCGUAGCUGCAUAUUAUCUACCGAACUUAGGUGGAUUCUCAGAAAGAAAAAGGUGAUGUUCACUGGCAUGAACAGUGAAUGGUGGAGUGGAACGUGAACAGGCUGGAGCUCUGGCUGUGCCAUUUAUUAGCCAUGUGCCUUUAGAAGGUCCUCAUCUUCUCCAGCCUCAGUUUCACCAUCUGUAAUGGUAGCCUUUCUGCUCCCGGUAAACACAAUCAGCUUUGCUGGUCUGGGUUUUUUAAUGAUCUGCAUUUACAGGAGUAUCCAUGACCCAGAGAGAGUAUCAGUGUCAAGAAUCUGCCAGUGAGAAAGUGAUUUGAAGCAGCUCUGGAGUUCAGAUGGCCACGGGUGCAAGUGCCUGCUCUGGUGUGCUUUGCCUCUGGAAAGAUGCCAAGUCUUUGAGAAUCUUUGCUGCAUCAGCCAUGCUACAUCCUGAGGACUUGGAGGUGAGGAAAUCCUGUGUGCACUUGUUUCCUUCCCUUCAAAUGAUAUAUCCCAGAAAAAUGGCAAGCUCUCUGCUUACUAACUCUUUUCUUUUUCUUUAGUUCCCCCUUAGCUUUCUCUCUCCUUUCUUCCGUCUUUCUCUUGCCUCCUUUCAUUUUUGGUAAAAUCCAAAGCGAAAUGUCAACUCAGAGGACAUAGCUGUUUGUCUUCACCACCUACAAACUGUAUUUCCUGGAUCAAGCCGCUUAACUCCAUUGAACUGUUUUUAGCAUCCUGAAAAUGGGGAAUCACACUUUCCACUUAUCCAAGCAUUUGCUCAUUCGUUUAUUAAUAAUGUAACACCCUUGAAUGCCAGGCCCUGAACUGAAGAUAUGGUCCUGACCCACUGGGUAGUCACAGGAGAGUGGAGAAUAAUGCUUCAUUUGCUAUGUUGCUUCAAGAAUUACAUAAAAUAAGGCAGUUAAAAAUAUUUUGUGAACCAAAUAGUGCAUUAUGAAAAGAUAUUAACACUUCUUACUUUCUUAUAGCAAUUUCUAAAUGAUUUAAUUUCUGCCAUCAAAAUAUCCCCCUUGUGUUGAUCUAAACCAUCAGAUUGCAAGGUAAAGCCCUGAUGUAACUGAUGAGAUGAAGAACACUGUAUGGCCAUUAUUUUAGGUACGAUAAACAUUUGACUUCUCUUACAGAGACCUAAGGAAAAUGACUUAAAUAGGGUAGAAAUGUCUUUCUCAUGUAACAAGCCAUGCAUUAGCAGACCAGGGCUAGUGUGACAGUUCCUCCAUGGGUCACUGUGUGGUUCAUUAAGGUGUUGUCCUCCUUGGCAUGACCCACGAUGGCUGCCAGUGUAACAGCUGAAUGUCAACCAGCAAGACAGAGGUGAGGGGUGGGGAGGAGGGCAUGCCUCUUCCCUCUGAGAAAUUGCCCACCUACUUCUGUUUAUGUCCCAUGAGCCAAAAUUUAGAAUUAGGUGUCUCCACCUAGCUUCAGGGAGGCUUGGGAACUGAAGUCUUUAUCCUGGGCAUUCUAGCAUACCCUACAUCCAAUCUGUCAAAGUUGCAUUUAGAAUCCAGCCCCUUCUCACCACCUUUACUUCUUUCAUGGCGGUCCAAGCCACUUUCACUGGAUGACGGCAGUAGCCACCUAACUGGCUUCUCUGCUUCUUCUCUUGCCCUCCACUGAAAUCUUUGCUCAGCGCACGUUGAAUAAUGACUCUUUUAGGAUGUAAGCCAGAUUUUUCAACUCCUCUGCUCAAACCCCUGCAAUGGCUUGCUAGGCCCUGUGGGAUUAGGCCUUUGCUACCUGUCCCUUCCUUCCAUCCUCCCUCCUCCCUUGCUUACUCCACUCCAGCCACAUCUGCUCCCUUCCUGGCCUCAGGAAGGCAGACAUGCUGUUGGGUAGGGAUUUUCAUCGGUCGUUCCUUCAGCCUAAAAAUUGUCCAUUUCAGAUAUUCACAGGGCUCAUUCCCUCGCCUCCUUCAAAUCUUUCCUCAAAUGUCACCUUCUUAUAGAGGUCUAUCAUGACUUCUCUACUUAAAAUGGCAAGACCUGCUUCCCAACUUUUGGCACUCCUAAUCUGCCUUAUCUUAUUCUUUUUUUUUUUUUUUUUUUUUUCACAGCAGGGACAUUUUCUAAUAUAGGUUUAUACUUUACUUAUUUACUAUCUUUAGUGUGUGUGUGUGUGUGUGCCUCUUCCCUUGCUAGAAUGACAGCUCCCUGAAGGCAAGGAUUUUUUUUUCUUCCCUGAUGUAUCCCCAGUACCUAAAAGAGUGCCUGGUGUAUAAUAGAUAAUAAAUAUUUCUUGAAUAUAAGCUUGCAUGAAGAGAUGGAGCCGAAUCCAGUUCUGAUGACAUCAUUUGAGCUCUGGUUCCAUGUGCCUAAAGCAAGAAUUCUACACUUUUCAGUUCCAUGGGUCAAUAAAUUUUCUUGUGUUUAUUUAUUUAAUUGGAAGACUAUUAUUUAACUAAAUCAAUUAGA